GUGAGGCGCGCCUAGGGUUCCGCCGCCGUAGCGGGUCUGGUCCGAGAGGCGCAGGCGGUCCGGCGCACGCGUCGGGGCGUUCCACGGCGGGACAAAAGCCCGGGAGAC
rnacentral:sRNA from 2 species